CCUACGGGAGGCAGCAGUAGGGAAUCUUCCGCAAUGGACGAAAGUCUGACGGAGCAACGCCGCGUGAACGAUGAAGGCCUUCGGGUCGUAAAGUUCUGUUGUUAGGGAAGAACAAGUGCUAGUUGAAUAAGCUGGCACCUUGACGGUACCUAACCAGAAAGCCACGGCUAACUACGUGCCAGCAGCCGCGGUAAUACGUAGGUGGCAAGCGUUGUCCGGAAUUAUUGGGCGUAAAGCGCGCGCAGGCGGUUUCUUAAGUCUGAUGUGAAAGCCCCCGGCUCAACCGGGGAGGGUCAUUGGAAACUGGGAAACUUGAGUGCAGAAGAGGAAAGUGGAAUUCCAAGUGUAGCGGUGAAAUGCGUAGAGAUUUGGAGGAACACCAGUGGCGAAGGCGACUUUCUGGUCUGUAACUGACGCUGAGGCGCGAAAGCGUGGGGAGCAAACAGGAUUAGAUACCCUGGUAGUCCACGCUGUAAACGAUGAGUGCUAAGUGUUAGAGGGUUUCCGCCCUUUAGUGCUGAAGUUAGCGCAUUAAGCGCUCCGCCUGGGGAUACGGUCGCAAGACUGAAACUCAAAGGAUUGACGG
rnacentral:rRNA from 1 species